rnacentral:rRNA from 1 species
AUUGAACGCUGGCGGCAGGCCUAACACAUGCGAGUCGAACGAGUGGCGGACGGGUGGGUAGUGUCUGGGAAACUGCCCGAUGGAGGGGGAUAACUACUGGAAACGGUAGCUAAUACCGCAUACCAUCGGAUGGGCCCAGGUGGGAUGAGCUAGUAGGUGGGGUAUCGGCUCACCAAGGCGACGAUCCCUAGCUGGUCUGAGAGGAAGACCAGCCACACUGGAACUGAGACACGGUCCAGACUCGUACGGGAGGCAGCAGUGGGGAAUAUUGCCCAAUGGGCGCAAGCCGGAUGCAGCAACGCCGCGUGCGGGAUGACGGCCUUCGGGUUGUAAACCGCUGUCAGCCAUGACGCGGUAGUGGCAGAAGAAGCACCGGCUAACUACGUGCCAGCAGCCGCGGUAAUUC